rnacentral:rRNA from 1 species
GUAGGGUGCGAGCGUUAAUCGGAAUUACUGGGCGUAAAGCGUGCGCAGGCGGUUUUGUAAGUCAGAUGUGAAAUCCCCGAGCUCAACUUGGGAACUGCGUUUGAAACUACAAGACUAGAAUAUGUCAGAGGGGGGUAGAAUUCCACGUGUAGCAGUGAAAUGCGUAGAGAUGUGGAGGAAUACCAAUGGCGAAGGCAGCCCCCUGGGAUAAUAUUGACGCUCAUGCACGAAAGCGUGGGGAGCAAACAGGAUUAGAUACCCUGGUAGUCCACGCCCUAAACGAUGUCUACUAGUUGUUGGUGGAGUAAAAUCCAUGAGUAACGCAGCUAACGCGUGAAGUAGACCGCCUGGGGAGUACGGUCGCAAGACUA